rnacentral:rRNA from 1 species
UACGUAGGGUGCGAGCGUUGUCCGGAUUUAUUGGGCGUAAAGAGCUCGUAGGCGGUUUGUCGCGUCGGCCGUGAAAUCUCCACGCUUAACGUGGAGCGUGCGGUCGAUACGGGCAGACUUGAGUUCGGUAGGGGAGACUGGAAUUCCUGGUGUAGCGGUGAAAUGCGCAGAUAUCAGGAGGAACACCGGUGGCGAAGGCGGGUCUCUGGGCCGAUGACUGACGCUGAUGCGCGAAAGCGUGGGGGAGCAAACGGG